rnacentral:rRNA from 1 species
UACUCCUACGGGAGGCAGCAGGCUAGAAAUUUGGGCAAUGGGGGAAACCCUGACCCAGUGACGCCGCGUGCAGGAAGGAGCCCUUCGGGGUGUAAACUGCUGUCGUGUAGGGAGAAGGGUACUAAGGUGAACAAUCUUAGUACUUGACGGUACUACAGGAGGAAGCCCAGGCUAACCUCGUGCCAGCAGCCGCGGUAAUA